UGGCGAACGGGUGAGUAACGCGUGGGAAUCUGCCCUGGAGUGGGGAACAACAGUUGGAAACGACUGCUAAUACCGCAUACGCCCUACGGGGGAAAGGCUUCGGCCGCUAUUAGAUGAGCCCGCGUCAGAUUAGCUUGUUGGUAGGGUAAUGGCCUACCAAGGCAACGAUCUGUAGCUGGUCUGAGAGGACGAUCAGCCACACUGGGACUGAGACACGGCCCAGACUCC
rnacentral:rRNA from 1 species